rnacentral:misc_RNA from 1 species
GGACUACUGGGGUUUCUAAUCCUGUUUGCUCCCCACGCUUUCGUGCAUGAGCGUCAGUACAGGUCCAGGGGAUUGCCUUCGCCAUCGGUGUUCCUCCGCAUAUCUACGCAUUUCACUGCUACACGCGGAAUUCCAUCCCCCUCUACCGUACUCUAGCUAUGCAGUCACAAAGGCAGUUCCCAGGUUGAGCCCGGGGAUUUCACCUCUGUCUUACAUAACCGCCUGCGCACGCUUUACGCCCAGUAAUUCCGAUUAACGCUUGCACCCUACGUAUUACCGCGGCUGCUGGCAC